AAGUCGUAACAAGGUUUAUUUGGGCGAGAGGUGAUCUUUCCGACGCACCGAGCCGAAGCCUUUAGCGGGUCCUUUCGAGGAUUGGCCCAAUCGCGACUCUAAAAAAUGGACGGGUCCCCCGGUCCCCCCCGAAACCAUCGGGACGACCGGGCGCCAGUUAGCAAUCUGCUAGCGACAUCGUCGAACUGUGGCGAUCCUCCCACGGGAGCAAUCCGUAGCUCAUGCCCCCCCGGGGGCGUGGGUCCACAGACUAAGUGGCGGUGGGCAAUGGAGACGGCCGGGGGUGAUUUUCUCCCUCCGAUCCCCAUGCUGAGAUAUAGUCGGUCCCCGGAGCAAUCCGGACAGGAGGCAAACGUUCCGUAGGUGAACCUGCGGAAGGAUCAUUAAUGAGAAUAGGGGCCCCGGUCCCGAAACUCCCACCCAAUGCGUACCUUACCAUCGUUGCUUUGGCGGGCCAGCGGGUCAAACCGCCGCCGGCUCUCUGGGCCCGACGAGCGCCCGCCAGAGUUCCCCCCAAACUCUUUCUAAAUUCAGUUGACGUCGGAGAAGCAAUUUAAUAGCAAAAAACUUUCAACAACGGAUCUCUUGGUUCUGGCAUCGAUGAAGAACGCAGCGAAAUGCGAUAAGUAAUGUGAAUUGCAGAAUUCAGUGAAUCAUCGAUCUUUGAACGCACAUUGCGCCCCCUGGUAUUCCGANGGGGNAUGGCCUGUUCGANNCGUCAUUUAAANCCUCAAGCUUCUUUGGCUUGGNGNUGGGNGCGUCCCCCGCGAGGGGAGCGNCGCCCGAAGUUAGCGGNGUGCAGCCGGGGCGAUCGAGCGUAGUAAAAGCCACAAACUUUCGCUUCGAGCUCGCCCGGACGUUCUGGCCGGACAAAAACCCCCCAUCUUUCUCAAAGAUUGACCUNGGAUCAGGUAGGGUUACCCGCUGAACUUAAGCAUAUCAAUAAGCGGAGGAAAAGAAACCAACAGGGAUUGCCUCAGUAACGGCGAGUGAAGCGGCAACAGCUCAAAUUUGAAAUCUGGCUCCCUUCGGGGCCCGAGUUGUAAUUUGCAGAGGAAGCCUCGGGCGCGGCGCCGGUCUAAGUCCCUUGGAACAGGGCGUCAUGGAGGGUGAGAAUCCCGUACGUGACCGGCGGCCAAGCCCAUGUGAGGCCCCUUCGACGAGUCGAGUUGUUUGGGAAUGCAGCUCAAAAUGGGUGGUAAAUUUCAUCUAAAGCUAAAUACGGGCCAGAGACCGAUAGCGCACAAGUAGAGUGAUCGAAAGAUGAAAAGCACUUUGGAAAGAGAGUUAAACAGUACGUGAAAUUGUUGAAAGGGAAGCGCUUGCAAUCAGACUUGGCCGGGGGUGAUCAGCCGUCCUUCGGGGCGGUGCACUCGCCCACGGCCAGGCCAGCAUCGGCCCUGGCGGCCGGACAAAGGCCCCGGGAAAGUGGCUCCUUUCGGGGAGUGUUAUAGCCCGGGGCGGAAUGCGGCCAGCCGGGACCGAGGACCGCGCUUCGGCUAGGAUGCUGGCAUAAUGGUUGUAAGUGACC
rnacentral:rRNA from 1 species